rnacentral:rRNA from 1 species
UACGAAGGGGGCUAGCGUUGCUCGGAAUUACUGGGCGUAAAGGGCGCGUAGGCGGAUAGUUUAGUCAGAGGUGAAAGCCCAGGGCUCAACCUUGGAAUUGCCUUUGAUACUGGCUAUCUUGAGUUCGGGAGAGGUGAGUGGAAUGCCGAGUGUAGAGGUGAAAUUCGUAGAUAUUCGGCGGAACACCAGUGGCGAAGGCGGCUUCCUGGUCUGCCGACUGACGCUGUGGCGCGAAAGCUAGGGGAGCAACGGGGAUUAAGAAACCCUUGUAAC